UGCAUGUUUAUGGAGAAAAUUUUUCAUAAGUAUACGGCGGUUGCCAUGAUCUUUGGCUCAUGAUCUCUGAUUGGGGGCAUGACACACACAAUGGUGCUCGAUCACCAAUAAGUAGGUUGGAGUGCAAAUGGAUGUAGAAUCCUGUUGGUAUCUCUCUUUGAGCAUAUGUCCUCUGCAGUUUGUAUGCAGUAUCGUAGAGUGUCGUGCAAC
rnacentral:lncRNA from 1 species